CAGUUUAUAGCUUAUUUUAAAGCUUAUUAUUUACAUUAAUAUGAAAUUUUUAUUAAUUAUUCUGA
rnacentral:tRNA from 1 species